GGGGACAACAGCUGGAAACGGCUGCUAAUACCGAAUACGUUCUUUUUUGUCGCAUGGGCAGAGGGGAAAGAAAGGGGAGGCUCUUCGGAGCUUUCGCUGAAGGAGGGGCUUGCGUCUGAUUAGCUAGUUGGAGGGGUAACGGCCCACCAAGGCGACGAUCAGUAGCCGGUCUGAGAGGAUGAACGGCCACAUUGGGACUGAGACACGGCCCAGACUCCUACGGGAGGCAGCAGUGGGGAAUAUUGGGCAAUGGACGCAAGUCUGACCCAGCAACGCCGCGUGAAGGAAGAAGGCUUUCGGGUUGUAAACUUCUUUUACCAGGGACGAAGGACGUGACGGUACCUGGAGAAAAAGCCACGGCUAACUACGUG
rnacentral:rRNA from 1 species